UGCGGGGGGGGCAAGCGUUGUUCGGAAUUACUGGGCGUAAAGGGCUCGUAGGUGGCCAACUAAGUCAGACGUGAAAUCCCUCGGCUUAACCGGGGAACUGCGUCUGAUACUGGAUGGCUUGAGUUCGGGAGAGGGAUGCGGAAUUCCAGGUGUAGCGGUGAAAUGCGUAGAUAUUCGGAAGAACACCAGUGGCGAAGGCGGCUCACUGGACUGGUAUUGACGCUGAGGUGCGAAAGCGUGGGGAGCAAACAGG
rnacentral:rRNA from 1 species